rnacentral:misc_RNA from 1 species
AAGGAGCACUUCUUGACUGCCGGCCCUCGGGCUUGGUGGUCCAGAGGCCAGUUCAUCAGCGAAUGUCUGAUGCUGGUUGCUCAUGGGUGGAACGUUGACUAUUCGGCACUGUCGGUCUGCUUGGACUGUGAGUACUGCUUCGGCGUGGAAAACAGUUCAGGAGGUUGAGGGUGUCGGGCACGCUGUUGGGUGUCUGAGGGAGCGGCCACGAUGUGGCUGUUUCUUCGGUUGCCGGCCCCGGUAUAUGUCUGCUUCGGCGGGUUGUGACGGGUGGUUGGUCGUUG